CCUACGGGUGGCAGCAGUGGGGAAUAUUGCACAAUGGGCGCAAGCCUGAUGCAGCCAUGCCGCGUGUGUGAAGAAGGCCUUCGGGUUGUAAAGCACUUUCAGCGGGGAGGAAGGCGUUAAGGUUAAUAACCUUGGCGAUUGACGUUACCCGCAGAAGAGGCACCGGCUAACUCCGUGCCAGCAGCCGCGGUAAUACGGAGGGUGCAAGCGUUAAUCGGAAUUACUGGGCGUAAAGCGCACGCAGGCGGUCUGUCAAGUCGGAUGUGAAAUCCCCGGGCUCAACCUGGGAACUGCAUUCGAAACUGGCAGGCUAGAGUCUUGUAGAGGGGGGUAGAAUUCCAGGUGUAGCGGUGAAAUGCGUAGAGAUCUGGAGGAAUACCGGUGGCGAAGGCGGCCCCCUGGACAAAGACUGACGCUCAGGUGCGAAAGCGUGGGGAGCAAACAGGAUUAGAUACCCCUGUAGUC
rnacentral:rRNA from 1 species